UCUAUAUCACAUACUUUACCGUGUCAUGAAAUUGUACGAAUAGCGACAUGCAGUAUUUUUUUACGUAUACGUGUCGUAGCUUUGGUGAAUCUUAAUAAGCUCGCCAGUGAGCAGUUAGAAUAUACCUGGGCCUGGAUGACUUAAAUAUUUGAUAUCCGUGAAGGAAAGAAUAUUUGCAUCAACUAACAGAUUACAGACACUUAAUUCUUAAAGUUGAUACUUGCGAAUUUCAAUCACUCUGGUUCAUUUGAACGACUAAAGAAGCAGAUAUAAGUCUUCCAGAAGGCCCGACGAAAUAUUUCAGAAUCGUAACACGCAUCUCAGACCAUAGGUGGCCUACAGGCUAAGCUUGGCAACGUUAUCACGAAUUGGCAACGAUCAAGGACAUUCUCAUGCAGACAGACGUUCUCACGGAAGUUUUCCAGGCGGUAUAGGGAUCCUUCAUACCAACGGGUUAAUGAACCUGUACCGAUAAGUUCAAGAGUCCAUGAUUCGUAUGAACUGCCUGCUUGAAGGCAGCAGAAAGACGGGCAGUGUUUACACUUCUAUAUAUGACAGUUUUUGUACCGAACGAUAGGGGUAUCACCUUUAGACUCAAUGUACCGAUAGCCAAUAUUACUUUCAUUUGGAACAAAAUGUGGGGCAUAUUUCAUUGAAGUUAUUUUUACAUUAUAUUAUUGCAAUCAACGCUUUCAAAAAACCCUUUUUUGUUAAGGCGAUUGUGUAAUAGCCCUUGAUAGUCGAUUAUGUCUUUGGAAAACGACGUACCA